GGGGGUGUUCCGGAAUUCGACCUUGAGACGGAAUGGCUCGUGGCAGGCAGGAGUUGGCCGAAGGCUCCUUUAAAAUCGGCCAAACCAAUAAAUGGCGAACAAGAAUACGCCCUCGCUGCGUAGUUUAACCUAUCAGCGCGGAGAACCUCUCACGUCCGCUAAGAGGUAAUCCGACGACUAGCGGAUAUAGCUGCUUCCGGGCCACCGGGGAAGCAGCCGUAACUUACCGGUAGCUAGCGACCCGGCCGCGCGUUGCACCGCAACCGAUCAGCGAAAACCCAAAAGCGCAACUAUGCCUGUAGAAGCGUGCCAAGAAGGCUCUCGGGACGCGGGUUCAAAUCCCGCCACCUCCACCA
rnacentral:tmRNA from 1 species